UACGUAGGGUGCGAGCGUUGUCCGGAAUUAUUGGGCGUAAAGAGCUUGUAGGCGGUUUGUCGCGUCUGCCGUGAAAAUCCGAGGCUCAACCUCGGACUUGCGGUGGGUACGGGCAGACUAGAGUGUGGUAGGGGAGACUGGAAUUCCUGGUGUAGCGGUGAAAUGCGCAGAUAUCAGGAGGAACACCGAUGGCGAAGGCGGCAUCCUGGACCGGCAUUGACGCUGAGGCGCGAAAGCUAGGGGAGCAAACGGG
rnacentral:rRNA from 1 species